rfam:Xenopus laevis strain J chromosome 4L, whole genome shotgun sequence.
GGCUCCAUAGCUCAGUGGUUAAAGCACUGGUCUUGUAAACCACGGGUCGCGAGUUCAAUUCUGCCUAGGUCUU